rnacentral:rRNA from 1 species
CCUACGGGUGGCAGCAGUGAGGAAUAUUGGUCAAUGGGCGGAAGCCUGAACCAGCCAAGUAGCGUGCAGGAUGACGGCCCUACGGGUUGUAAACUGCUUUUAUACGGGAAUAACGCGCCUUACGUGUAGCGCUUUGCAUGUUCCGUAUGAAUAAGGACUGGCGAAUCCCGUGCCAGCAGCCGCGGUAAUAAGGAAGGUCCGGGCGUUAUCCGGAUUUAUUGGGUUUAAAGGGGGCGUAGGCCGCAUGUCAAGCGUGCUGUGAAAUGGCCGGGCUCAACCCGGGCCUUGCAGCGCAAACUGGCGUGCUUGAGUCCGCGGAAAGCAGGCGGAAUUCGUCGUGUAGCGGUGAAAUGCUUAGAUAUGACGAAGAACCCCGAUUGCGAAGGCAGCUUGCUGCAGCGGAACUGACGCUGAUGCUCGAAAGCGCGGGUAUCGAACAGGAUUAGAUACCCUUGUAGUC